AGCCACUCUAACGUCAAAUGUUUCCACAACAAUCGAGAAGAUUGCAUCAGUUUGAAUCAAAUUUUCAACCAAACCAGUGGAGUUAAAACUUUAUCGAAAAACAAAUCAAAUCGCAUAAUAAAUCCGUGAUUAUUUCAAUUAGUGAUUAAUUUUGUAUACACAAUCGAUUACGCUAAUCGUAAUAGCAGAAGAAGUGCUAAAUUGUGAUAAUGGAAGGCCAGGGAAAGAAAAAGGGGAAGAAGAAUCGCCCCGCAGGAGGAACUCAAUCCGGAGAAUCAUCCGGGCCUGCAGCGGGUCAGCAGCAGAAGCAGCAGCAACAACCACAACAGCAGAAACAGCAACAACAGCA